rnacentral:rRNA from 1 species
AGAGUUUGAUCAUGGCUCAGAACAAACGCUGGCGGCGUGCCUAAUACAUGCAAGUCGAACGAAGAAAUCUCUUCGGAGAGAGUAAGAGUGGCGCACGGGUGAGUAACGCGUGGAUAAUCUGCCCUGGAGUGGGGAACAACCUAUCGAAAGGUAGGCUAAUACCGCAUAAGACCACAGAAGCUGCGGCUUCAGUGGUCAAAGAUUUAUCGCUCCUGGAUGAGUCCGCGUAAGAUUAGCUAGUUGGUAAGGUAAUGGCUUACCAAGGCUCCGAUCUUUAACUGGUUUGAGAGGAUGAUCAGUCACACUGGAACUGAGACACGGUCCAGACUCCUACGGGAGGCAGCAGUAGGGAAUAUUGCGCAAUGGGGGAAACCCUGACGCAGCGACGCCGCGUGUGUGAUGAAGGCUUUAGGGUCGUAAAGCACUGUCGUAAGGGAAUAACACAAUGAAGGUACCUUACAAGAAAGGACCGGCUAACUUCGUGCCAGCAGCCGCGGUAAUACGAGGGGUCCUAGCGUUGUUCGGAAUCAUUGGGCGUAAAGCGGGUGUAGGCGGAAAUGUAGGUCAGAAGUGAAAGUCCAGGGCUCAACCCUGGAAGUGCUUUUGAAACCCCAUUUCUUGAGUGUAGAAGAGGAGAGUGGAAUUCCAGGUGUAGUGGUGAAAUACGUAGAUAUCUGGAGGAACAUCGGUGGCGAAGGCGGCUCUCUGGUCUAUUACUGACGCUCAGACCCGAAAGCGUGGGGAGCAAACGGGAUUAGAUACCCCGGUAGUCCACGCCGUAAACGAUGGACACUUGGUGUUGGGAGGUAUUGACCCCUUCAGUGCCGAAGCUAACGCGUUAAGUGUCCCGCCUGGGGAGUACGGUCGCAAGAUUAAACUCAAGGGAUUGACGGG